GUGUACUCCGUAAGAUUACAUGAUAUUAUUUAUGUACAUGUAUGUUCACUGUUCUCAUGUAUUUCAAUAAAAUAUUGAUGUCCUAUUUAAAUUCAUGUAAAAACCCACCUAAACAUAUAAUGGUAAAUCCUACAGCACCUAGUAUUUUUUUUCUAAUAUAAAAUCGUCAUGUCAUACAUGUUUAGUAAAUUAUUGUCAUCAUGAUGUAGGUUUUUUCCUAUACAAUGGCACCUCAGUGAGACUGAGUACUGAAGUUAUUGUUGAACUUUAGCUACACGUUUCAAUCCAUCGGAAGAGGUUUGGCAUAACAAAGGCUGUGGAUUUUAUAACAGUAACUUGGAUGACUGCACAAAUGGAUUAUUAUCGUGCCCGCAACCACAACCGCAACUUUAUCCACGUGUGAGAAGCGCGGGUACUCGCAUUCGACGUUCAAACGCGGAAUGAGUUCGCGGAGUCGGCUCUGCGUAUACGCUGAUAGCCCAACGUUGGUUCGUACAACGAGUUUCACACCAAAUGCGACCUGGUAAGAUGGUCCGGG